rnacentral:pre_miRNA from 15 species
CGGGGGCCUGGACACCUGGGUCCUGGCACCCACCCGUAGAACCGACCUUGCGGGGCCUUCGCCGCACACAAGCUCGUGUCUGUGGGUCGGUGUCGGGCUCACCAUCGCGGCUGGGGGCCU